AGAGUUUGAUCAUGGCUCAGAAUCAACGCUGGCGGCGUGCCUAACACAUGCAAGUCGAACGAGAAAGUGGAGCAAUCCAUGAGUAAAGUGGCGCACGGGUGAGUAACACGUGACUAACCUACCCUUGAGUGGGGAAUAACCUAGGGAAACCUGGGCUAAUACCGCAUAACACCUACGGGUCAAAGGAGCAAUUCGCUCGAGGAGGGGGUCGCGGCCGAUUAGUUAGUUGGCGGGGUAAUGGCCCACCAAGACUAUGAUCGGUAUCCGGCCUGAGAGGGCGCACCGACACACUGGAACUGAAACACGGUCCAGACUCCUACGGGAGGCAGCAGUGGGGAAUUUUGCGCAAUGGGGGAAACCCUGACGCAGCAACGCCGCGUGGAGGAUGAAGUCCUUCGGGACGUAAACUCCUUUCGAUCGGGACGAUUAUGACGGUACCGGAAGAAGAAGCCCCGGCUAACUUCGUGCCAGCAGCCGCGGUAAUACGAGGGGGGCGAGCGUUGUUCGGAAUUAUUGGGCGUAAAGGGUGCGUAGGCGGUUUGGUAAGUCUGAUGUGAAAUCUAUGGGCUCAACUCAUAGUCUGCAUCGGAAACUGCCGGGCUUGAGUAUGGGAGAGGUGAGUGGAAUUCCUGGUGUAGCGGUGAAAUGCGUAGAUAUCAGGAGGAACACCUGUGGCGAAAGCGGCUCACUGGACCAUAACUGACGCUGAUGCACGAAAGCUAGGGGAGCAAACAGGAUUAGAUACCCUGGGUAGUCCUAGCCCUAAACGAUGACUGCUUGGUGUGACGGGUACCCAAUCCCGCCGUGCCGUAGCUAACGCGUUAAGCAGUCCGCCUGGGGAGUACGGUCGCAAGGCUGAAACUCAAAGGAAUUGAUGGGGGCCCGCACAAGCGGUGGAGCAUGUGGUUUAAUUCGACGCAACGCGAAGAACCUUACCUGG
rnacentral:rRNA from 1 species